rnacentral:rRNA from 1 species
CGCUUGCGAUGCUGGCAGGCCUAACACAUGCAGUCGAGCGGUAACAGAUCUAGCUUGCUAGAUGCUGACGAGCGGCGGACGGGUGAGUAACGCGUAGGAAUCUACCAAGUAGUGGGGGAUAAACCAGAGAAAUUUGGUCUAAUACCGCAUACGUUCUUCGGAAGAAAGGAGGGGAUCUUCGGACCUUUCGCUAUUUGAUGAGCCUGCGUGAGAUUAGCUUGUUGGUGAGGUAAUGGCUCACCAAGGCGACGAUCUCUAGCUGGUCUGAGAGGAUGAUCAGCCACACUGGGACUGAGACACGGCCCAGACUCCUACGGGAGGCAGCAGUGGGGAAUAUUGCACAAUGGGGGAAACCCUGAUGCAGCCAUGCCGCGUGUGUGAAGAAGGCCCUAGGGUUGUAAAGCACUUUCAGCAGUGAGGAAAGGGUGAUGGUUAAUACCCAUUAUCUGUGACGUUAACUGCAGAAGAAGCACCGGCUAACUCCGUGCCAGCAGCCGCGGUAAUACGGAGGGUGCGAGCGUUAAUCGGAAUUACUGGGCGUAAAGCGCGCGUAGGUGGAUUGGUCAGUCAGAUGUGAAAGCCCAGGGCUCAACCUUGGAACUGCACCUGAUACUGCCAGUCUAGAAUACGGUGGAGGGUAGUGGAAUUUCCUGUGUAGCGGUGAAAUGCGUAGAUAUAGGAAGGAACACCAGUGGCGAAGGCGACUACCUGGACCGAUAUUGACACUGAGGUGCGAAAGCGUGGGGAGCAAACAGGAUUAGAUACCCUGUAGUCCACGCCGUAAAACGAUGUCUACUAGCCGUUGGGAGACUUGAUCUUUUAGUGGCGAAGCUAACGCGAUAAGUAGACCGCCUGGGGAGUACGGCCGCAAGGUUAAACUCAAAUGAAUUUGACGG